CAGCAAAUUCUGAAAAGGCAUCUUUUGGAGGACGUACUCCAUUCGAGCGCCUCUUUCUCUUGUGCACAUCGACACAAAUCACAGAUCGAUGAGGACAUCGAAGAGCCAGAUCUAGACUGGGACGUAGCAGCUACUUACGAUGUCUGUGAAGAUAUUGAAGCUGUUGUUCCAGAAUCUGAAUGUGCUUUGAGUGCAGAUGAAUUGAGGACUCUUGAACAUCUGCUGAAUUCAACUGCUCCUAAUAUCUCUGUCAAAGAACUGAACUUGCUUUGUCGGGAGUUGUUUCAUCAAAUAUGAAUUAAAUAAACAAACAAACAAACACAAAGCAUAAAGACUGAACAGCAUAAUGAAUUUAUUUUGCUUUGAAGAUUACUGUGUAUUGAUGUACAGUUUUUUCACAUCUGAAUAGAGUUUGGAACAAUUUGGAAGCCAUCUUGGCUGCUUUUGUUGUAAUACAUGUCAAUAAUAAAGAAAAUUAAAAAUAAAACAGUCAAAUAUCCAAAAUCUACUGCACCAUUAUUCUUUUAACAUUAUUAACAACAUAACAGAGGGUCCACAGUAUAGUGAUUAAACUACAGUAAGAAUCGAUCUCAUGAAGGACCAAAGUCUCUGCGAUUGCUCUCCGCCGGCUCAUUAUGCUGAGCAACUCUGUGUUUGUCUCUCGCUGCUGUGUAGGUUACAGUACAGGAACAUGCAUUUACUAGAGACAAGCAGAAACUAUGCUGACCACAUCGAAGCUGACAGUCAGGAUCACUCUGGCGCAGAUCUGCCUCUCAUGAUGCUCAGCUGUGAACGAUUUAAAAAUGACAUGCAAAAAAAA